rnacentral:lncRNA from 1 species
AAUAUCUUUAAUUGUCCAAAUGAAGAUAAUUUAUUAUUGAACUUAAAGGCCAAUCAAUAUAAAUAGAACUUCUUAGGGUAUUGAAGAAAGUACAAGUGAAGAGAAAAACUGCCCCAAAAAAGAGCUAUGUUGAAAAUGGUAAGUAGAUACAUUACAAUGCCAAUGCAAUUUCUAUUUUAAUCCUACUGUUCCCAAUUCCCCUAGAAAUUCCACUGAGAUUUGCUUUAUGUCAGCAUUCUUUAUGUCAUUACUUCUUGUUUCUCAGACUUACCUUGAAGCAUAUUUGAAUCACAUGGA